UACGUAGGGGGCAAGCGUUGUCCGGAAUCAUUGGGCGUAAAGAGCGUGUAGGCGGUCCGGUAAGUCGGCUGUGAAAGUCCAGGGCUCAACCCUGGGAUGCCGGUCGAUACUGCCGGACUAGGGUUCGGAAGAGGCGAGUGGAAUUCCCGGUGUAGCGGUGAAAUGCGCAGAUAUCGGGAGGAACACCUAUGGCGAAGGCAGCUCGCUGGGACGUUACUGACGCUGAGACGCGAAAGCGUGGGGAGCAAACAGG
rnacentral:rRNA from 1 species